GACGAACGCUGGCGGCGUGCUUAACACAUGCAAGUCGAACGGAAAGGCCCUGCUUUUGUGGGGUGCUCGAGUGGCGAACGGGUGAGUAACACGUGAGUAACCUGCCCUUGACUUUGGGAUAACUUCAGGAAACUGGGGCUAAUACCGGAUAGGAGCUCCUGCUGCAUGGUGGGGGUUGGAAAGUUUCGGCGGUUGGGGAUGGACUCGCGGCUUAUCAGCUUGUUGGUGGGGUAGUGGCUUACCAAGGCUUUGACGGGUAGCCGGCCUGAGAGGGUGACCGGCCACAUUGGGACUGAGAUACGGCCCAGACUCCUACGGGAGGCAGCAGUGGGGAAUAUUGCACAAUGGGCGGAAGCCUGAUGCAGCAACGCCGCGUGCGGGAUGACGGCCUUCGGGUUGUAAACCGCUUUCGCCUGUGACGAAGCGUGAGUGACGGUAAUGGGUAAAGAAGCACCGGCUAACUACGUGCCAGCAGCCGCGGUGAUACGUAGGGUGCGAGCGUUGUCCGGAUUUAUUGGGCGUAAAGGGCUCGUAGGUGGUUGAUCGCGUCGGAAGUGUAAUCUUGGGGCUUAACCCUGAGCGUGCUUUCGAUACGGGUUGACUUGAGGAAGGUAGGGGAGAAUGGAAUUCCUGGUGGAGCGGUGGAAUGCGCAGAUAUCAGGAGGAACACCAGUGGCGAAGGCGGUUCUCUGGGCCUUUCCUGACGCUGAGGAGCGAAAGCGUGGGGAGCGAACAGGCUUAGAUACCCUGGUAGUCCACGCUGUAAACGGUGGGUACUAGGUGUGGGGUCCAUUCCACGGGUUCCGUGCCGUAGCUAACGCUUUAAGUACCCCGCCUGGGGAGUACGGCCGCAAGGCUAAAACUCAAAGGAAUUGACGGGGCCCCGCACAAGCGGCGGAGCAUGCGGAUUAAUUCGAUGCAACGCGUAGAACCUUACCUGGGUUUGACAUGGAUCGGGAGUGCUCAGAGAUGGGUGUGCCUCUUUUGGGGUCGGUUCACAGGUGGUGCAUGGCUGUCGUCAGCUCGUGUCGUGAGAUGUUGGGUUAAGUCCCGCAACGAGCGCAACCCUUGUUCACUGUUGCCAGCACGUUAUGGUGGGGACUCAGUGGAGACCGCCGGGGUCAACUCGGAGGAAGGUGGGGAUGACGUCAAGUCAUCAUGCCCCUUAUGUCCAGGGCUUCACGCAUGCUACAAUGGCUGGUACAGAGAGUGGCGAGCCUGUGAGGGUGAGCGAAUCUCGGAAAGUCGGUCUCAGUUCGGAUUGGGGUCUGCAACUCGACCUCAUGAAGUCGGAGUCGCUAGUAAUCGCAGAUCAGCAACGCUGCGGUGAAUA
rnacentral:rRNA from 1 species